AGCAGCAGCCGCGGUAAUACGAAGGGUGCAAGCGUUGUUCGGAAUUACUGGGCGUGAAGCGCACGUAGGCGGCUUGGUAAGUUAGAGGUGAAAGCCUGGAGCUCAACUCCAGAAUUGCCUUUAAGACUGCCGAGCUAGCAGGUGAGAGAGGUAAGUGGAAUUCCGAGUGUAGAGGUGAAAUUCGUAGAUAUUCGGAAGAGCACCAGUGGCGAAGGCGGCUUACUGGCUCAUACUGGACGCUGAGGUGCGAAAGCGUGGGGAGCAAACAGGAUUAGAUACCCCUGUAGUCCCUGUCUCUUAUAC
rnacentral:rRNA from 1 species